AUCGAUUGUGGUCGUAAACUCGAAUGGUCGUAAGUAGCAUAGGUGGUAAGUCGAUCAAUACCUGUAGCUAGGCAUCACUGUGUUACUAAAUUUUGAUUACUUGCUUAUAAGUGGAAAUGCCACGUCCAACUUCUUGGAAGUGUCCUAAAGGAGGAAGCCUUCUUUACCCUUUCCUUUUUCCUGAGAGGAAUGUAGAUGUGAUGGCUGAGCUCAGGCUGUCAUCUUGGACUGUGAGGUGUGUUUUAGUCAGUUCAGGCUGCUAUAACAAAAAUUCUUUAGACUAGGUAACUUAAUAGAAAUUUUCUCCUUGUGAUUCUGAAAAUCCAAGACCAACGUACUGACAGAUUCAGUGUCCAGCGAGGGCUGUCUUACUGGUUUGUGGAAGACUACCUUCUUGUUACAUCCUCAUACAGUGGAGAAAGAGAUCAUGUUUUACAUGUCUCCUCUUAUAAAGACACUAACUUCAUUGACGAGGGUUCCACCCUCAUGAGCUAAUCACUUCCCCAAAGCCCCACCUCCGGAUACCAUACACUGGGAAUUGGGGUUCCAUAUAUGAAUUUUUUUGGGAAAAAUUCCCAAAUGUAUAGCCCCUAGCAAGGUGGGAACCAUUAACGGGAUAGCUUGGUAACAGGGUACUGGGGGCCUCUGGACUGCCUCUGUGUAAGUGAGAGAGAAACUCCCGUUUUGUGUAACUCCUCUUGUGUGUGGUUUGCUCUUACAUGAAGCUGAGUGUAAUCUUAACUGAUACAUCUAUGAAUCUAUUUAAUCUUGUUUGGGAUCAGGGAUUUCUAGGGAGAAUUUUUUUUCAUGCCUCACUAUACAUCUCAGAGCAAUGCUUUGUCUGGUGGACAGAAAAAUCUGAACUCUUGCAGAUAAAAAUGUGUGAGAUUUCUGCAGCCUAUAACAUCUUAAGUACCGCAUGGUAAACCACCAUCAGGAUUCUUUUUAAAAGCCACAGAAAUGCUUUUCUUCUUCCCUGUGGCCUCUUUCUGUCCCAUUCCGUAACAAUUCGGUCCUCAAGCCUUUAAGAGGGUUUGUUUUCAUGCUGCUUAUAAAGACAUAGCUGAGAGUGGGUAAUUUAUAAAGGAAAGAGGCUUAAUGGACUCACAGUUCCACAUGGCUGGGGAGGCCUCAAUGAUGGCAGGAGACAAAGAGCAAAGGGACAUCUUACAUGGCGGCAGGUAAGAGAGCGUGUGCAGUGGAGCUCCCAUUUAUAAAGCCAUCAGAUCUUGUGAGACUGACUUACUGUCAUGCAAACACUAUGGGGGAACCGCCCCCAUGAUUCAGUUGUCUCCACCUAGCCCCGUCCUGGGCAUUAUUACAAGUCAAGGCGAGAUUUGGGCGGAGAAACAGCCAAACCAUAUCAGUGGGACAGGAAAAUAGACGUUCAGGGGGUGGCCUGCAGGGAGCAUUGACACCUUAGUGGGUGAGGAGAGCAGCCGUGCAGGUUGGGCAGGUUGGGCCGGGGCAGAGCAAGGAGGGCAUCCUGGUGGAGGUGUCCUGGCCUGGAGAUUAGCAUCAGGACAGAGUGAGGAGGAAGGGGUGAUGGGGAGAUGGGUUGCUGCAGUGGAGCAUGUGUUGGAUAAUUGAAAGGGCUUGCCAGAUUCCACAGCAUCUGCUUACAUGAGGGCUUUGUAAAAGCACAGGAGAUGCUUCAGCUGGAGGAAGAAAGCACAGGCUAGUGUUGGUGACCUGAGAGACUCACUGGCAUGGCUCACCAGGGCCCCUCGUUGGCUGCACAGAGGACAUUUUGUCUCGAGACUGUGAACCAUCAAGAAGUGUGCAAGGAAUGUUGGUGUCAGGAGAGCCUGGGCCAAAACAUCGAGUGCUGUCUUCUGUGCUGGGCCGGUCACAAAGCCAGCCCAGGCUCUGUGACCAGGUGUAAGCCUUCAAUCCACACCUCCCACAAUGGUGUAAGCAAGCUGGCCCUGGGGACCACCAGGGGUGUUUUUAACUUUAAGCUGGCUCACUCUUCACUAUCUUGACCAAGAGUCAGCAGCAAGCUUCCAAGUGUCCGUGCAGAUGAUCACAGAGCUGUCUUGGUUUCACUGUAAGAUAACUGUUUACACAGCUAUAUAGAGUGGUGUUCGUUAAAUAAGUAAACAGCCUAAAGACAAUGGAAGUAGAGUUCUCGCUUUUUGGUUUUAAGACCACAUGAGUAAACAAAUUAGUUAGGUAAACUAUCCCACAUAUCCUAGCUAAUCGCUUUACUUAUUAGCUAAUUGUAAGGGGGAUUUAGGCUGCCUUCAGCCAAAACUUCUGCUGAAACGAUGUAUGAAAAAACCUUAGGCCUUCCAAAAGGAUUUGAGAGAAUUAGAAAUAUGAGAAGGGAGACAACCAGGAUGAGCCUUGAGAUGUGUUGGAAUUCGGUAGAUUGGGGUGAACAUAGGGUGUUUAAAAAUAGAAAUAGACAGUGAAAUCAAUAUAGGGUUUGGAGUGUGUAUAUUCUCUAGCUCUGACCACUCAGAGGGGCCGAGAGUACCUAACCUCCCCUGCCCCCAUGGCAGUGAGCACGUCUAGUGCCUGGAUUUUGGCUUAGAAAUAUUAUUUCCCACAAAAGGAACCGGAGAUCAUGGGAGAAAUAACUGAUUCCAGGGCUGUGAUAGAAAAAAUACAGGAUGAAUCUGAAUAUCUUGUGCCAGAAAGCAAGGAAGUGCUGCAAGGAUGAGGGGGCGUGUAGAAAGGACUAAGAAGUCCGCUUGGAUGGACUCACACUGGCCAAAGCAGGGACAAUUAGAGCAUCACUCUAAGUAAUAACGAUAGAGUGUAACCCAUCAGCUAAAAUAGGAAGCCGCAAGGCCGUACCAGUAUAACUAAGUAAACCAUGAUCUCCCAGCACCAAUGCUGUUGACCUUUUGGACUGGACGAUUCUUUGUCAUGGGUUGGGCUGCCUUGCAUGAUGUGGGAUGUGUGUCAGCAUCCGUGGCUUCCAUCCACUACACCAGUGCUUUAGACUAGGGCCAUCCAGCAGACAGAGAAGGCCAGUCACCAACAAAAUUUUAGAUCUUCUAGUGACCACAGUUACAAACCAAAAUGUCUGCAGACAUUGCCAGAUAUCCCAUGGGGGACAAGGUUGCCUUGGUUGGGGACCAAAAGACACAAUAAGUUUAGAGUUUGGUGGGGAACAGGAUAUUGACAUCAAAGUACCCUUUUUGCUUUUCCUGCUGGGGUCUGUGGACGGUGGAUGAAUAAAUGCACUUACACACAAUACAGAGAAUGAGUGGGCUGAGGGGUCAUGAGCCACUCACAGAGAGAGAUCGCAGUUACAUGAUACUUACUAGUUUGCCCUCUCCCCAUUUAUUCAGUAUAGAUUUAAUAACAGAGGCUUUAAGUCAGCAUGCUUGUAGAGAAAGAUUAAAGGCCAGGUUCUGAUGCCCAAAACAAACACCGUUAGUGGAUAAUAUCCCUGGUCAACCUCUCCCCAAAAGGGCCAUCUGGCUCAAAGUUUAAUUUUAAGACCACAUGAGUAAAUAGGUUAGUUAGGUAAAGUCACCCACAUACCCUGGCUAUUUGCUUUACUUACUAACUAAAUCCAAGGGGGAUUUAGGCUGCUUUCAGCUGAAACUUGUACUGAAACU